UCUCAUCAGAACGCUCUAGUGCCCAGGCUGAGGAGAGGAACAGCGCCCCUCGCAGACAGAAGCAGGACCUAACACUGGAGCCUUCAAGUACCCGGGCUGAGGCCCAGCCCUGCGCUCGGCCUUCUGGGAGACGGAGGCACACAGUCCCUCGCUCAGCCAUCACAGGUGUGCUGCAAGUGUCCAUCCUCCGAGAGCAGGCCCACAUCCACAUCCACA